AGUGAACGCUGGCGGUAGGCCUAACACAUGCCAGUCGAACGGCAGCACAGUAAGAGCUUGCUCUUACGGGUGGCGAGUGGCGGACGGGUGAGGAAUACGUCGGAAUCUACUUUUUCGUGGGGGAUAACCUAGGGAAACUUACGCUAAUACCGCAUACGACCUACGGGUGAAAGCAGGGGAUCUUCGGACCUUGCGCGAUUGAAUGAGCCGAUGUCGGAUUAGCUAGUUGGCGGGGUCAAGGCCCACCAAGGCGACGAUCCGUAGCUGGUCUGAGAGGAUGAUCAGCCACACUGGAACUGAGACACGGUCCAGACUCCUACGGGAGGCAGCAGUGGGGAAUAUUGGACAAUGGGCGCAAGCCUGAUCCAGCCAUACCGCGUGGGUGAAGAAGGCCUUCGGGUUGUAAAGCCCUUUUGUUGGGAAAGAAAAGCAGCAGGUUAAUACCCCGCUGUUCUGACGGUACCCAAAGAAUAAGCACCGGCUAACUUCGUG
rnacentral:rRNA from 1 species